GCGGGCAUAGUUUAGGGGUCAAACGUCAGCUUCCCAAGCUGAAGUCUCGGGUUCGAUUCCCGAUGCCCGCU
rnacentral:tRNA from 1 species